AAUCAACGCUGGCGGCGCGCCUAACACAUGCAAGUCGAACGAGAAAGUGGAGCAAUCCAUGAGUACAGUGGCGUACGGGUGAGUAACACGUGGGUAAUCUACCCUUUGGUGGGGAAUAACUUUGGGAAACCGAAGCUAAUACCGCAUAAUCCCGAGAGGGAAAAGCAGCAAUGCGCCGAAGGAGGAGCCCGCGGCCGAUUAGCUAGUUGGUAGGGUAACAGCCUACCAAGGCAAAGAUCGGUAGCCGGCCUGAGAGGGCACACGGCCACA
rnacentral:rRNA from 1 species